rnacentral:rRNA from 1 species
GUAGGGUGCGAGCGUUAUCCGGGAAUCAUUGGGGCGUAAAGAGCUCGUAGGCGGUUCAGCAAGUCGGCUGUGAAAUUCCGAGGGCUCAACCUCGGAACUGCAGUCGAUACUGCUGUGACUCGAGUCCGGUAGUGGAGAAUGGAAUUCAGGGUGUAGCGGUGAAAUGCGCAGAUGUCCUGAGGAACACCAGUAGCGAAGGCGGUUCUCUGGGCCGGUACUGACGCUGAGGAGCGAAAGCGUGGGUAGCAAACAGGAUUAGAUACCCUGGUAGUCCACGCCGUAAACGUUGGACACUAGGCGUGGCGUUCCGACCAACGGGUGCCGUGCCGAAGCUAACGCAUUAAGUGUCCCGCCUGGGGAGUACGGCCGCAAGGCUA